UAUUUAUAUCUUGUUAUUUCAUCCUAUACAGUUUGUCACUGUUCCCUCAAAGUGUAGUUCAUCUAGCUUCCAAGUAGAUAACAACACUUUUUAAGAUUACCAAUGACCUCUUGUCUUAUAGGGAUAUAUAUAUCAUUUUAACUCAUUGAGUCUCUUAAAACAGGGGUUUUUUGUUGUUGUUCUGUUUUGUUUUUCUUUUUCCCUCUUUUUUAAUUAUAUUUUGAUGAUACUCUUGAGUUCUGUGCUUGGACAUCAAAUUUUCUGUUCAGGUCUGGUCUUUUCUUUGAAAAUUCUUGGAAUUCUUCUAUUUUUUUGAAUGAUGAUACUUUCCCCUGUAAGAAUAUAGUCAGUUUUGCUGGGUAAUUGAUUCUUGGUUGUAGACCUAGUUCCCUUGCUGUCCAGAAUAUCAUAUUCCAUGCCUUUCGGUACUUCAGUGUAGAUGCAGCCAGAUCCUGCAUUAUCCUCACUGUGGUUCCAUGGUAUCUGAAUGACUUCUUCUUGGCAGCUUGUAAUAUACUGUCUUUGGUAUGAUAGUUUUUGAAUUUGGCUAUAACAUUCCUGGGUGUUUUCAGGGAAGCAUUGUGGGUGAUCCUUAGCAAGCUCAGUUGCCCAGCAAAAUUCGUCAAACUGAUCCAGCUCUUUCAUGUCUACAUGACAGGGGAAGUCCUAUCUGGUGGAGAGACUUCCAAUCGCUUCAACAUCUCCAAUGGCGUGAAACAAGGCUGUGUCCUUGCUCCUAACUAUUCAACCUAUUUUUCACCCAAGUAUUACAACAUGCUGUGAUGUAUCUAGACCUGGGUGUCUACAUCAAAUACCAACUAAAUACCAAAGAACUUUGAAGAGACUAAAGGCUAUGUUUUAAGGCAUUUCAGACUCUCCAAUGAUUUAUAAAAAUCUCUAUUCUAUUGCAUUUUUUGUUUAAGGUUUAACUUGGUGAUUUUAAGUUCAUAUAUUACUGGAGUCAAUAUUAUUGUUAUACUGUUCAUUUAAUGUACUGAGUUUUGACUACUGUUAUAUUCUGUUGUUUUCCCCCUAUAACUGUGCUAAACAAAUAUUAUUGAAUAAGCCGAUAUGUGAAAAAAAGUUUUUUUUCUAUUUUUGCCUUUGCAAAUUGUCAUAUAGAGGAUAGAUAGACUUCAGCAGAACUGGUUAUAAUUGUAUAAGAACCUUUGGAAAAUUUAAUGUGCUAAAUAUCUCAACUGAUUUUAAGGGAUUUUUUAAACAUGAUUUUUGGAAUUUUUCUUAACAAUCUCUGGUCAUUUUUGCCUGCCCCUACCAUGAGGUAAGGCCCCUUCUAGUAGCUGAAGUGAAAUACAUUUUAUAACCCCCAAUCUUUCCGCAUUUCUAAAUAUGUGAAUGGAAGUAGGGGCAGUUAAUCUCAGGGAAUUUGUACCCCUAAAAAGCCUCCAAAAAAGGAGCACCUCUCAUUUAUACUCUUCAGCUCACUACUUUACUUCCACCAGAAUGAUAUAUAGAUUUCUUGAUUAUGUUCUUAACCCAAGAUGAGUUUUACUUUGUUUAAAAAUAUGUUUAUUACCAAGGUUGAAAGAUUGCUACUUUUGUAAAAACUUGUGACAAAUAUCCAUCAGUUCAUAGGUUUUAAAAUGCCAUACAGUAACUUAUGUGAAAUAGGAAAGUGUGUUUGUUUACUAUUGUAAUUAAUUGGGCUAUUGAGAAUUUUGGGGAUAUUGAUAUCUACAUACUUAUACUACUAUUCUUUAUUUUAAAAAAAUGUUACCUUGUUCAAUUCAUUUGCCUUAUACUCAAAGUGGAACAUGGCCAGAUAUAAAGAGGAAAUUGAUCUCAUUUUUGCUGAGAAAGCCUUGUAUUAUAUAUUUUCUUUUCUGACACCGUGUCAAUGAUUAUAAGCUACAUUUUUUAAUUUUUUUAAAACUCUUUUAUUUUUUUCAGUUUUUUUUAUUUUUUUCUCUCUUCUUUAUAUUUGAAGCACAUGUCACCAGUAUUAAGAUUUUCUUUAACCUUUUGAUUUUUCAGUACUAUAAGUUUAAGAUACAUUAGCUAAUGCAUGCCUUAAAAAGCUUGUGACUAUAAAAACAAUGCCACUAAUUAUUUAAAUAAAUGAUGUGACUUUGCUUAAUGAUUCUGUCUGAUUCCAGGAAAAGAGAUACACACGAGAGCCAUUGCAAAGGGCCAAAGAAAAGCCAAUCCAGGAUGGAUAGAUGCACUUCUAGGCCAAUACAAAGGUUUUUAACCUAGUGUGAUACUUGGGGGUGCGACACUUGACUCAUGUUAAGAUGUAGGCCUUCCUUGUGUCCACACUCACUCUGAAGAUACUCACAGACAAGUAUCCUCAAAACCUUGGCUCUGAUAAUCUGGUGCCCUUUUCUGCCUCUCAUAGUGUGGUACCUUUCUGUAGUCCUGGCUACUGACUGGGUAAAUGCAUCAUUGCUUAGAUCAUUUUGAUUGGGCCCUGAUUCAAGGAACUGUUAUAGAUUUAUUUUUCUUUUACGUAGAAUUUUUUCACAUAAGAUUUUGAUAAUCUAUAUUUUCACCCAGAAUUUUUUAUUUUUAAUUUGGAUUUUCUGAUAUCUUUUAAAUAUCUCUUACCAAUUGGUUCAUAUACCUGAUACCUCAACCAUGCAUCCCUAAGUGAUCCUGUUUUUUUUUUUUAAUCACCCUCUUAAUGGGGGGAAUGUAAAAAAAAUCAUUAUUUAAAUUGCAAAUUUUAAAUUCCUUUUGAGAAGAAUUUUAGGUAAGGAAAGAUGCUACCUCUCUGAAUCCAGAACUGAACUAUUGGAGAAAACACAAUGAAGAAGCCUCCAGACCACAAACUGCACAAAAUUGAACUUUGGGUGUGGUUGAUUGAACAUUUAUUUGUAUGUAUACUUUCAUGCCAAAGGGGACUGUCCCCUAACUAACUCGACUGCCCCCUCAUUGGCAAUGCAUCCAGCAAUUAUUGAUUUUGUUUUUUUUCUCUUAUCCUCAAAUUACUGUAAUGUUUAAGUUGAUUAUGUUUUCACGAUCCUUUUUGGGGAAACUUCUCUCCCCAAUGACAAUCAAAUGGGGGUAUGUAAAAAUAGACUCAAAUUCAGGACUCCUUUCCCUAGAAUCCUUUGCUCGACUUCCCCAGAGUGCUUUGUAAUCACACUGAAUUCUCGCCUUGUUGAGAAUACAAUUGAUUAUUUAAAGGAGUUCUCUGCCUACUGAGGGGUCUUUUGGACUUCCUUUUUGGAGCAGAGGUGGCUCUUUUCAUAAUGUAGGUGAGGUGUCUAGGCAAGAGGCCUAGACAUGUGUUUUCUUAUCCUGUAUUUUUUUUAAUCCUUAAUCUUUAAUAAACCUCAUAAAAUAUAAUACUCCUUGCAGAGAGAAACUAAUUUCUACCUGCCUCAAAUUCCUAAAUUUUAACUGUUACACUCCAGAGUCAUAGAGAAACCCAGAGGAAACACCAACUCCAGCUAUCAUCCUGCCUCCAGCCAGCACACAAGAAGUUUGCACAACAGCAUCUCCCAGUGCUACUGACACAACCACAGAGGGCAGCAGUGUCAAGGUGGGGACAGCCUCUGUUUCUGAUCGAGUACCUUCCACUUCCAGCCUCUUCCCAACAUCAGGGAGUUCCUACUUGAAGGUUUUCAAGCUCAACUUCACCACCAUCAACCUGUUCUACACAACAGACAUGGCUCCAGCAAAUUCAACUCCACUGAGGAUGUCCUGCAACCCCUUAUCAACUCCUUGUUUAGAAAAAGCAGCUUUGGCCCUCACUAUUUUGGAUGCAGGCUGACUUUGUUAAGGUGAGAGUCGUGGGAGCUGAUGGUUCAAAUAGUAGGAACUAGCACAUUCCCAUCUGACUUAGAUGGUGUCCAGGUUGGUUCUUCCUCCACUUCCCUGUUGUAAUUCCUUCUUUCCCAAACUGAGGUGGGUAAAAUACCCCAACCAAUAAGCAUUCAGAAAUAUUUUGGGCUCCUUAUAGCCUUUUUCAAUUGUAAAAAAAAACUCCUUUCCCCACAACUUUUCCAAAGACAAUGUUGCAACUGUUUUUUUUUCAUUUUCUUUAUAUUCCACAUACAAGGAAUACCUUAGGAAGAACCAAGUGGUGCUUAGUAAAGGACUACUUAGAAAAUAUCAACAUUACUUUUCUCUAGAAUCAGAGAAUUAUAGAUUGUAAGUUGGAAGGGACUUUCAAGGUCAUCUGGAUGACUUUCUUCAUUUACAGAUGAAAAAUGAAGACCCAAGGAGUGGGUGACUUUUCCAGUGACUUUUCUAGAGUCAAAGAUACUGUGAAAUCCAGAAUUUUAACACAGGCCCUUUGCCUUUAAAUCCAAUGAUCUUUCCACUACUCUAAAGAAAUUACUGAAAAUAAUCAGACCCCAUACACACUUCUAAACAUAGAUAUGAGUGAAUUCACCCAGCCCUGCCAAUUCCACUGUGUCUGAUGAGAGAGCUAGGCUUGCCAACAGGAAGACCUGAGUGCAAAUUCUCUCAACCUCAAUGAACUGAUGCAGAGUGAAAUGAGCAGAGCCAAGAGAACAUUGUAUACAGAAAGUAAACCAUUGUGCAACAAUUCAGAGUAAUAGAUUUUGCUACUAGUAGCAAUUCAAGAAUCCAGGACACUCUUGAAGGACUUGUGGGAAAGAAUGCUAACCACAUUGAGAAAAAGAACUAUGGAAGUCGAAAUGCAAAAGAAAAACAUGGAAAUUGGUAUCAAGUGAUAACAAUUUCUGCAUCAAGUGAUAACAAUUUGUACAAACCAGUGGAAUGGUUUGUAGGCUCUGGGAGGGGAGAUUGAAGAAGGGAGGGAAAGAAAAUGAAGCAUGGAAACAGUGAAAAAUAUUUUAAAAUAAAAAUUAAUUUAAAAAUUCUCUCUCAGACACUUACCAGUUGUAUGAUUCUCAGCAAGUCACAUAACUGCCUUUAGCCUCAAUUUCUUCAUCUUUAAAAUGGGAAGGUUAGUUCUGAUGGCUUCCAUGUCCUUUUCAACUCUAAAUCUAUAAUUCUUUCCAAACCUUUUUUUCAAAGUAGGCCACUUCUCUCAUGAAAUAUUCUCUGAAUAACUAAAUUUCACUAACUAAACUAUUGCUGUCAACCUCAAAAGGUGACAUGGGCACUGUACCCCAGAAACCCAGGCAAACUAUUAUCAGGGUAACUUGCUUGUUUUUUUUCCUGACUCUGAGAUUUAAAACACCCAAUGACCCCUUUAGGAUCCUGAGAUGACUAUCUUCCUUUGAUCGUCCUCUAGAUGGACAGAAAGAUGCACCUUCAAGCCACACCUUGAUCCUAUCAGACAUCUGUUUGUCCCCUAAAACUAAGGAAUCUUUAUGUCCCCGGGAAGACCCAAGUAUGAUCACCCCACCUCAUGCCUAAGUGACUAACUGUUGUGAAAAAAGUAUAAAAUCCCCAGAACUGGCGUCAUCUGGGGAAAGAGCCUUUCCUUCUAUGCUGUCCUCCCAAGGAACUGCUCCCCAUUUUGCUGUUUUACAUUGCUAUCUUCCUGGCCACUCUCAACAUUAAUUUCCAAAUUAAUAAAUCUCUUUUUGUUUGUCAGCUAAGUUUUGGAGUCACUGCAUGCUUGCCAAAGGCAUCCUUCCUGAAAAAGGGUAUCCUUCCUGCCCAUAACAUUUUUGGCUCCAACAUGGUUUUUUGGCUCUCCUGAAAGCUACGCUUGUACCCUAGAUCAUCCACGAGUACACAGCUUCUCAGGUAGGAAGGAGCUUUUCUUUGACUCCUGAAACCCCAUCUUUUGGGUGAUAUCUCUGUGGGAACUCCUUCGUGCUCUCUCUCCCAUCGGCCCCAGGUCAACCUGGCCCCUGGAGUUUCGGGUCUAUCUGUCGGCUUCCCAGUAUACUAGAAGACGUUUUAGUUGUGUGGGAACGUCUUCCUGCCUCAGUGUUCAGCUGAGUGCUUGCCUAAGUGCUAGAACUGAGUGCUUGGUUGGGCAACCUGUGGACGCACAGUUGCUGACCCUCAGUGUGGAAUUGUCCACUUUUGCAUCUAAAUGGGGCAGAGCUUACCACGAGAUUCCCCUUUGGGAUGUAUACUUAAUAAUUGGAAAAAAUUGGCACUAAACAGCUUAAAUAAAAAGCAAUUAAUUUCUUUUUGUAAAGUUUUCUGCCUACGUUACAUCCUUGGUAAUCAAGAAUCAUGGCCUAUCCAUGGUACCCUACAUUAUGAUACCAUCAGACAAUUGGAUUUAUUCUGCAGAAGGUAGGGAAAUGGACAGCCAUUCCCUACAUUUCCGCUUUCAUUAAACUCAGCCAGAAUCCUGAGCUAAGACGAUUAUGUCGCAUGUGCCUUGCCACCUCCUUACUGAGCCCUUCUGGGGAAAGUCCCCAACAGGAUGUUCUGGAUGACCUAGCUCUCCCAAGCAAUUUAGCUUCUGUGAGGGGUGGGGAGAUAACAUCUCCUACACUGACUGCGGAGCAGUCAAGACCUUCCCCUCCCCCAAACUAACCUCUACUACAGAAUUCCCUCCAGAUCCUCCUGGUUCCUCUCCCCAACCCUGGGCUCCAAACCCUCUGCCUUACUCUCGGGGUUCAGAGCCAGAGACCACUCCUCUCUCUACUCCCAACUUAUCCGUUUGUACCCGCCACUGCCUGAGGAUAAUGUUACCUCACCCAUUCCUCAACCAAGCCCACUCCACACCAGGAGCGGACUGAGCUAUGGCGACUGGGCCCACCUCCUCCCUAUGAGAGAGGUCCCCUCGUCAGAUGGGCUGGCUCAGGUACAUGUUCCCUUUUCUAUGACUGAUCUAGCCCAGAUGAAGGAGAAAUUGGGUCGCUACUCAGAACCAUACCAAAUUCAUUGAGGGUUUUAAAUCCCUGACCCUGCAGUUUGACCUGUCCUGGGCAGAUCUGCAUAUUAUCUCCACCUGUUGCAGCCCAGAUGAGAAAAAAAGGAUCUGGGACUUGGCUGUAGAAAUAGGUGAUGAGAAGGCCCUAGCCGGCACAUGGGCAGGAGUUCCUGGUGUCGCCACAGUCCCAGGGCAAGAUCCUGGGUGGGACUAUAUGAAUGAAAGGGACAGACUUAGGAGAGACCAUAUGAUAGACUGUCUCCUUGAGGCCAUGCAGAAAGGGAUUAAAAAGCGAGUGAAUUGCACUAAGUUCAAAGAAAUCACUCAGGGAAAGGAGGAGAAUCCAGCCCUCUUCCUGUCCGAUUAGGGGAAACCAGGAAGCAAUAUACCAACAUCCACCCAGACACUGAUGAGGGGGCGCUUAAUUUAAGGCUCCACUUUAUAGGGCAGUCUGCCCCUGACAUCAGGGGAAAGCUGCAAAAGCUGGAUCUGGGACCUCAGACUCCAAAGAAUUUUAGAAACCAGAAUUAUAGAAAUAGGAAUUGGGAAAAUAAUGACAUUGCUAAAAAUGAAGAAAAUGAUAAUACUCCACAAAAAUAUAUGAGAAAUGGAGCUUGUCCAAAACAUACUCGAGGUGCUAAUGACCCUCAGAGAGGUGCCCUUCAGGAGGGUGCCCAAGGAACUUCCUAAUAUAAUGAAGAUGAUUCUUCUUAGAUUGUAUUGAUUUUGUUGAUAUUAAUUAACCUUUUUCAGUUUUUUUUUCUCCUCUCCAAAUAGUAGGAAAGAAUGAACAAAGAACUUAAAACUAUGAUUGGCAAAUUAUGCACUGAGACCCAUUUAAAAUGGCCUGAAAUUCUCCCUCUGGCCCUAUUUUAUCUUAGUAGCAGGCCUAGAGGAGACUUACAUAUUUCACCAUUUGAGAUGCUUUUUGGACAUCCGCCUAUACAGGCUAAGCCUUUCUCCCCGGCUUAUACAUCGCUAUUAGGGGGAGAUAUUACUAUUGCUUCCUAUAUACAGGAGUUACAGCACAAACUACGUGAACUUCAUGAAUCCAGAGCUGCAGUACAAGCUGGACCAUUAGACUUUUCUCUGCAUGACCUGAACCCAGGAGAUAAAGUUUAUAUCAAGAAUUUCAAGCAAACUGGAGCAACUCAACCUUCAUGGGAAGGACCAUUCCAAAUAUUAUUAACUACUCCAACAUCUAUAAAGAUUGGAGAAAGGGACUCUUGGAUUCACUGCUCACAUGUGAAGAAAGCAUCUUCUGCUGAGACUGAUUGACUGCAUCCUAUCAUAUGAAUUGUGACUCUAUCUUAUCAUAUGAAUUGGAGAUAAUAAUCCAUAGACAAAUGGAUGCUGUUUUUUUUUCAAGAAUAUAUUGAAUUGCUGAUUUUUUCUCUUAUUUUUAUUAUUUCUUUUCUUUUAUUUUUUGAUCAGAAUAUUUGAUUUUUUUUCUCAUUUUUUUGUACUGAAGGUACACAUAAUUAAUAGUAAUAUUAUUUUUCCCUGCAGUAAUAUAAGUUAAUAUAUAUACUCUUGCUAUAAUAUCAAUAUAUGCCUAAAAGCUUUAAACUAUAGGAACCUGCCAUUUAUUGACAAAAUAUUAUAGGACUGUGAUUAAUGUUUGUGUCUGAUUCCAGGAAAAGGGAUAAAAACAAUGAGCACAGACUAAACCUGAAUAGUGCCAAUAGAGCACACAAGAAAUAUUAAAGUGAGACUCGAGGUUGCGAAGCUUAACUUAUGUUUAAGUCGUAGGACUUCCUUGUAUCUACACUCUUUAUGAAGUACUCAAACAAGUACAAAGCUUGAGUAUCAUGCUGGCUCCCUAUAUCCCUGAAUGGAAAAAAUCAGACAAGGGAAUGACAUUUCCCCAUCAAAAUAGAAUUCUAAUUCUUUUCUUCUUAUAUUAUGGCAACUUCCUGUAGUCUUUAUUACAAAUGGCUAAGUGAAAUAUUACUGCAUUCUGUCCUACAUACUUGUGGGAUAAAAAUUACUUUAAAAUGGACCUAUACAAGACCUAUUUUGAAUUUUUCUUAUGUUUUUGAUUAUUUUUCUAUUCUUUUGAUAAUUGACACAUACACCCCCAAAACUGAACAUUGCAUUCUGAGCUAAACUUGAUAUUUUUUUAAAUACUUACUUCAGGGGGAUUGUAUUUUAAUUUAAAAUCUAAGAAUUUUUUUUUUGAAUUUUUUUUGUUUGUUUGAGAUUGUAUUUUUAUAAAAACCCAAGAAUUUUGAAUUUUGUUUAAGAUUUUACUGUUAUAAAAAUCAAAGAUUUUGAUUCUGUUAGAGAAAAGAUCUUCAAGAAAAAAGCUUGAAAUUUUUAUAUCCAGAGAAUGAACUGUUGCAGAAAGAUGCAGAAAACCUACACUUCAUCAAGAAGAUCAAGAAUGAACUUUGGAUGUGAUUGAUUGGACUGAAAUUUUGAUUGAACAUUUAUUGUAAUUGUACACAUUUAUGCCAAAUGGGACUGCCCCUAAUUUGGCUUUCUGUCAAUGCGCCUAGCAAACAUUGGUUUUGCUUUCUUUUCUUUUCUAUUUCCUCUCUCACUAUUCUAAUUUGUCUUAGAAAAUUGAAUAUUGUGUAUAUCUUUAGUUAGAAGUGAAUUUAGAACUACAAAAUGAUUAUGUUAAAUGAUCAAUGGGGAGACUAGUCUCAAAAUGAUCAUCAGGGGGGAUUGUAAACCUUAAAAUUUCUUAAACUUAUAAUUGUUGGAAAUUUCACUAUUGGGAAAUUUCAUACUUGAAAAAUUUCCUAUUGAUAGUGGAACUCUAUUGGAAUGUGAACCCCAUUGGCAUGGGAGGUUCCUCCUCCUCCCUUCUUAAGAUUACUUUAGGACAGAAACCUUUUGCUGAACAAUGGAAAAGGCUGUGACCUAUGCUUAAGCAUAGAACAGGAAUUUCUUUGAGUCAUGAUUGAUUUUAGAAUUGAUACAAUGGAGAUACUUGGAAUGACAGAACCAGGUCUUGGAAAUUGCAAUCUCCACCCUACUCAGUCCUAACAGGAUUUAGGAAGGGCUGCAGCAUAGAUCAAAAUUUAAUUAUUCCAAUCUCUACCCUACUCAGGGUAACAGGAUUUAGGAAGGGCUGUAGCAAAAGAUCAAGAUUUAAUUAUUUGAGAAUAUGACCUUCAACAGACAUGUGCAAAGCCACAGACCUCUAGAGCCCCCAUUGGCACAGGGAAAAUGAUGGACAGUGAUUGGUAGAUGUGAGAACUGAGGAGAGGGAACUUGGAUGGUUUCCUUAAAGAUAGAGGGGUCUGAGGAUGAAGGGGAGUGGUUGGAGAGGUGCUCUGAGAAGCUUGCUCUGAAGGAAGCUGGAGUUGGAGGCCUCUGAGACUAUUUCUCCACUUUGGUCACGUGAGUAAUAGGGACUGAUCUCCUUUCUUUGCCCCAGCUAUCUAAGGGCUUGGGCCUUUUGGCCCAGCCUAAAGAGAAGGGGUAUUUAAGCCCUAUUCCCUUCUCUCCCCUUUCUCUCUCCCUCUCUCUCUCUAUCUCUAAUUCCUUUCUUCCUCCUGUUUGUAAUUAAACUCUAUAAAAGGUUGACGGCUGACUUGAGUCAUUUAGGAAUUACAUAGCUGAAUUCCUUGGCGACCUUAAAUUAAUAUAUAUCAGUCUUUUAAAGUGAUUUCCUUGUCACACACUCCACAUCCUAGAGUAGCACCUCUUCUCCUGGAAUGACCCCAUUCUCUGGGGCCCCAACAACAUUUUUUACCCACACUGGCUCAGAGCAGAACAAAGGAUAGAUAGCAGAACAAGGGAGAUAGGAGAACAAAGGAAAUUAGUUAUUUACAUCAUCCUCAAUUGACAAGGAGACCCAGUGGACAUCUGCCUCUUCCCCCUCAGGGUCCACACUCACAAGCAGACAUCCCUCCCUAAUCUCUGCUUCAGGCUUUGAUGCUUUCAUUUCAACCCUAUUCAUGAGUAU